rnacentral:rRNA from 1 species
UACGUAGGGUGCGAGCGUUAAUCGGAAUUACUGGGCGUAAAGCGUGCGCAGGCGGUCUGUUAAGACCGAUGUGAAAUCCCCGGGCUUAACCUGGGAACUGCAUUGGUGACUGGCAGGCUUUGAGUGUGGCAGAGGGAGGUAGAAUUCCACGUGUAGCAGUGAAAUACGUAGAGAUGUGGAGGAAUACCGAUGGCGAAGGCAGCCUCCUGGGCCAACACUGACGCUCAUGCACGAAAGCGUGGGGAGCAAACAGG